UUUACGAGGGGUUGUUACUGCUCCCUUGUGGCGCAGACGCUGGGAAGGAGGUUUCUCUCUUUCCCGAUCUCCUACUGAUCAGUGCCGAUGGUUCUGUACCUUGUUGCAGUCUCCGAUAUCUGUGCUCGUUCCUCACGCUUGGACUCCAGUCCAAGAGUAGCGUCACAUAGAUGCUGCGGACCUGGAGAAAAGCACCCCAGGAGGUGUGGAAGAGAUAGAAGAUUCCAAGGCCCCGCGGAAGCGCUCGCCACCGAGCUGCAUGGAGUGCUUUGAAAGGGGAGUAGUGGUGGCAUCGUGUGGCGGAAGAAACAGCACGGGAGAAAGAGGGUUGGAGGGUCUUGCGUCUUCCCUGAUUGUUUCUAGGCUGGAGUCAGUCGAGAGUAAUCACUGGUGUGUGGACUGGAGCAGAGCUGAGAUUUACUAAAGAGCGAAUAGUAUUCAUUCUCCCUGCUCAAUUAGUGUGAAAGAAAAGUUUUUAAAGCUCCCAAACGUUGUCGGCUUGGUGGUACACGCCAGUAAGCCCAGCCCUUGGGAGAUUGAGGCAAGAGAAACACCGUGAGUUUGAGGCCAGCCUGAAUUACGUGAGUUCAAGGCCAACCUGGACUGCAUGGGGAGACCCUGUCUCAAAAAGAAAAAAAAAAGCCGCCCGACAUCAAAAGGGAAUUUAUCCUUUAUCAAAUAUAGAAGACUACAGUGUGGCCCAGGACUUAAGACUGUGAGCCACGACUUGGGGUUAGGGACCAGCUUCUAGGUUUCCUGCAUUCCUUGGCUGUGACCCUCUUUCGUGUCUUCAGAACCAGCAAUGAAAGAUCAAUUCCUUCUUGUGUACAUCUUUCUAAACCUUUUGGCAAAAGCAGGGAAAAAUUCUCCACUAGUAAUUACUUGUGUGAUUACUUUAGGCUCAUUUGGGUAAUCCAGGGUAAUUGCUCCAUCUUAAUGCCAUAUUUAAUGACAUCUGCACAGUCAUUUUGUAACCCUUUAGUUAUAUAUACACUUUAUGCUGUUAUAGUUGUCAAAAAUAGAUCUAUGAAGAGAUAAGAUUACCUUGUCAUCUAAGAGAAUCAUAUUUCUUUAUGAAAAAUUCAAUCCCUUUGAAGGAGGUGAAUAAAGUAUAAAUCUAAAUAUAA